rnacentral:tRNA from 1 species
GCGUCCUUAGCUCAGCUGGAUAGAGUCCCUGGCUACGACCAGGGGGGGCGGAGGUUCGAAUCCUCCAGGACGCGCCA